GCACCCAUAGCUCAAUUGGAUAGAGCAACGCACUCCUAACGCGUAGGUUGUCGGUUCGAUUCCGGCUGGGUGCG
rnacentral:tRNA from 1 species